GCUACCUGAUGAAAUAACGAGAAGACUUUUCCUCCCCGCAUCCUGUUCGAAUCCCCUCUGUCUCUCUCGGUUCCAUUCCCCUUCUCCCUCUCCCCCGCAAGCUCCGCUCGAUCUCCAGCGCCGUCGAGUGGCCCGACGGGGGCGAAGCUCCGACGAGCAGCGCUGGAGGAGUUUCAACGGCGCCUGAAGCUUCCUGGGAGUGGAUCGCCAUGGAUUGAGGCUCCUUCGGUAGCGCGCCGCAAAUCGAAGAGACUCGGGCUUGGCGGACGUCGUGAGGCGAUUUGGUGAUGAUACCCGGUGUGGCGGCUCUGCGAAUCGACGAUCCUGAGGUGGAGGCGCCCGCUGCCUGAGGUUCUGUUUCAUGGGCAGCAGAGUUCCAAGGUGUGUAGAUGUCAAGAAGAUUUGACAGUUGUUCAUACAGUCUUAGAGACAAUUGUACAUCAUGUUCUACUUUCCAGGUUAUUUUGUCCAAUGCAGAUUUACAUGACCAAGAGUACUGUCGGCAUGUCAUUUUAUUGGGUGUUCUGAUGCUCAAGUUGGUUGUUCUGGAGCACAAUUCAUGUUUGCUAGCCUAUAGUUCUAAGUAAAUCUACAAAUUACUGUUAAAACUGAUGCCUUUUGGUUACUACUAAAUGCAGAAUAAUGCACAUACUCAGUUUUAAAGAAGCGUGUUUUUC